rnacentral:rRNA from 1 species
AGCGAACGCUGGCGGCAGGCUUAACACAUGCAAGUCGAGCGCCGUAGCAAUACGGAGCGGCAGACGGGUGAGUAACACGUGGGAACGUGCCUUCUGGCUCGGAAUAACUCAGGGAAACUUGAGCUAAUACCGGAUAAGCCCUUCGGGGGAAAGAUUUAUCGCCGGAAGAUCGGCCCGCGUCAGAUUAGCUAGUUGGUGAGGUAAUGGCUCACCAAGGCUACGAUCUGUAGCUGGUCUGAGAGGAUGAUCAGCCACACUGGGACUGAGACACGGCCCAGACUCCUACGGGAGGCAGCAGUAGGGAAUUUUCCACAAUGGGCGAAAGCCUGAUGGAGCAACGCCGCGUGCAGGAUGAAGGCUCUUGGGUCGUAAACUGCUUUUAUAUGUGACGAUUAUGACGGUAGCAUAUGAAUAAGGAUCGGCUAACUCCGUGCCAGCCGCCGCAGUAAAAC